rnacentral:misc_RNA from 1 species
GGAGUAAAAGUCGUAACAAGGUUUCCGUAGGUGAACCCGCGGAAGGAUCAUUCAUAAUAAGUGUUUUAUGGCACUUUUUUAAAUCCAUAUCCACCUUGUGUGCAAUGUCAGGGUUGAUUUUUCUCUCGAGAGGAUCAACCCCAAACAUCAACUAUAUCUCAACUCUUUGUCUGAAAAAUAUUAUGAAUAAAACAAUUCAAAAUACAACUUUCAACAACGGAUCUCUUGGCUCUC